GACGAACCGUGCAAACGUUAUUCGGAAUCACUGGGCAUAAAGGGCGCGUAGGCGGCUUUCUAAGUCAGGGGUGAAAUCCGGCAGCUCAACUGUCGCAGUGCCUUUGAUACUGGAGAGCUCGAGGGAGGUAGGGGUCUGUGGAACUUCCGGUGGAGCGGUGAAAUGCGUUGAUAUCGGAAGGAACGCCGGUGGCGAAAGCGACGGACUGGAUCUCUUCUGACGCUGAGGCGCGAAAGCCAGGGGAGCGAACGGG
rnacentral:rRNA from 1 species